rnacentral:rRNA from 1 species
UGACUAGAGUUUGAUCCUGGCUCAGAUUGAACGCUGGCGGUAUGCUUAACACAUGCAAGUCGAACGGCAGCACGUUGUUUCUUUUCGGAGAAAUAAUGGUGGCGAGUGGCGGACGGGUGAGUAACGCGUAGGAAUCUGCCCUAAAGUGGGGGAUAACCCGGGGAAACCCGGGCUAAUACCGCAUAAUCUCUACGGAGCAAAGCUGGGGACCAGAGUUUACUUUGGCCUGGCGCUUUAGGAUGAGCCUGCGUCGGAUUAGCUAGUUGGUGGGGUAAAGGCCUACCAAGGUGACGAUCCGUAGCUGGUCUGAGAGGAUGAUCAGCCACACUGGGACUGAGACACGGCCCAGACUCCUACGGGAGGCAGCAGUGGGGAAUAUUGGACAAUGGGCGCAAGCCUGAUCCAGCAAUACCGCGUGUGUGAAGAAGGC